GGAGUGGCCCGGGGCCGGUGCCCCGAACGGCCUUCAAAGCCGUUGGCGGCGCCUAAACGGCGCUGGGAAGGUUCGACUCCUUCGCCGCUCCG
rnacentral:tRNA from 1 species